AACGAACGCUGGCGGCAGGCCUAACACAUGCAAGUCGAGCGAGGACUUCGGUCCUAGCGGCGGACGGGUGAGUAACGCGUGGGAACGUGCCCUUUGCUUCGGAAUAGCCCUGGGAAACUGGGAGUAAUACCGGAUGAGCCCUUUGGGGGAAAGAUUUAUCGGCGAAGGAUCGGCCCGCGUUGGAUUAGGUAGUUGGUGGGGUAAUGGCCUACCAAGCCGACGAUCCAUAGCUGGUUUGAGAGGAUGAUCAGCCACACUGGGACUGAGACACGGCCCAGAGUCCUACGGGAGGCAGCAGUGGGGAAUCUUAGACAAUGGGGGAAACCCUGAUCUAGCCAUGCCGCGUGAGCGAUGAAGGCCUUAGGGUUGUAAAGCUCUUUCAGCUGGGAAGAUAAUGACGGUACCAGCAGAAGAAGCCCCGGCUAACUCCGUG
rnacentral:rRNA from 1 species